rnacentral:rRNA from 1 species
UGGUUUUCCAGGCAAAUCCGGAAAAUCAAGGCUGAGGCGUGACGACGAGGCACUACGGUGCUGAAGCAACAAAUGCCCUGCUUCCAGGAAAAGCCUCUAAGCAUCAGGUAACAUCAAAUCGUACCCCAAACCGACACAGGUGGUCAGGUAGAGAAUACCAAGGCGCUUGAGAGAACUCGGGUGAAGGAACUAGGCAAAAUGGUGCCGUAACUUCGGGAGAAGGCACGCUGACACGUAGGUGAAGUGAUUUACUCAUGGAGCUGAAGUCAGUCGAAGAUACCAGCUGGCUGCAACUGUUUAUUAAAAACACAGCACUGUGCAAACACGAAAGUGGACGUAUACGGUGUGACGCCUGCCCGGUGCCGGAAGGUUAAUUGAUGGGGUCAGCGCAAGCGAAGCUCCUGAUCGAAGCCCCGGUAAACGGCGGCCGUAACUAUAACGGUCCUAAGGUAGCGAAAUUCCUUGUCGGGUAAGUUCCGACCUGCACGAAUGGCGUAAUGAUGGCCAGGCUGUCUCCACCCGAGACUCAGUGAAAUUGAACUCGCUGUGAAGAUGCAGUGUACCCGCGGCAAGACGGAAAGACCCCGUGAACCUUUACUAUAGCUUGACACUGAACAUUGAGCCUUGAUGUGUAGGAUAGGUGGGAGGCUUUGAAGCGUGGACGCCAGUCUGCGUGGAGCCGACCUUGAAAUACCACCCUUUAAUGUUUGAUGUUCUAACGUGGACCCGUAAUCCGGGUUGCGGACAGUGUCUGGUGGGUAGUUUGACUGGGGCGGUCUCCUCCUAAAGAGUAACGGAGGAGCACGAAGGUUGGCUAAUCCUGGUCGGACAUCAGGAGGUUAGUGCAAUGGCAUAAGCCAGCUUGACUGCGAGCGUGACGGCGCGAGCAGGUGCGAAAGCAGGUCAUAGUGAUCCGGUGGUUCUGAAUGGAAGGGCCAUCGCUCAACGGAUAAAAGGUACUCCGGGGAUAACAGGCUGAUACCGCCCAAGAGUUCAUAUCGACGGCGGUGUUUGGCACCUCGAUGUCGGCUCAUCACAUCCUGGGGCUGAAGUAGGUCCCAAGGGUAUGGCUGUUCGCCAUUUAAAGUGGUACGCGAGCUGGGUUUAGAACGUCGUGAGACAGUUCGGUCCCUAUCUGCCGUGGGCGCUGGAGAACUGAGGGGGGCUGCUCCUAGUACGAGAGGACCGGAGUGGACGCAUCACUGGUGUUCGGGUUGUCAUGCCAAUGGCACUGCCCGGUAGCUAAAUGCGGAAGAGAUAAGUGCUGAAAGCAUCUAAGCACGAAACUUGCCCCGAG